rnacentral:rRNA from 1 species
UACGUAGGGGGCAAGCGUUGUCCGGAUUUAUUGGGCGUAAAGAGCUCGUAGGCGGUUUGGUAAGUCUGGUGUGAAAUCUCCACGCUCAACGUGGAGGGGCCACCCGAUACUGCCAUGACUGGAGUCCGGUAGAGGAGUGUGGAAUUCCCGGUGUAGCGGUGAAAUGCGCAGAUAUCGGGAGGAACACCCGUAGCGAAGGCGGCUCUCUGGGACGGUACUGACGCUGAGACGCGAAAGCGUGGGGAGCGAACAGG